AUUCUACUCCCUCUGUUGCACAAUACAUGCCUUCUAUUUGUCAAAAUAUAUAUGUAUCUAGACAUGUCUUAGUAUAUAGGUACAUCCAUUUUUGGACAAAUGGAAGUCAAGUAUUUUGGAACGGAGGGGGUACACA
rnacentral:pre_miRNA from 1 species